rnacentral:rRNA from 1 species
AUACGUAGGGUGCAAGCGUUAAUCGGAAUUACUGGGCGUAAAGCGUGCGCAGGCGGUUUUGGAAGACAGAGGUGAAGGCCCCGGGCUCAACCUGGGAACUGCCUUUGUGACUGCAAGGCUAGAGUACGGCAGAGGGGGAUGGAAUUCCGCGUGUAGCAGUGAAAUGCGUAGAUAUGCGGAGGAACACCGAUGGCGAAGGCAAUCCCCUGGGCCUGUACUGACGCUCAUGCACGAAAGCGGGGGGAGCAAACAGGAUUAGAUACCCUGGUAGUCCACGCCCUAAACGAUGUCAACUGGUUGUUGGGUCUUCAUUGACUCAGUAACGAAGCUAACGCGUGAAGUUGACCGCCUGGGGAGUACGGCCGCAAGGUUGAAACUCAAAUGAAUUGGCGGGG